rnacentral:lncRNA from 1 species
AAAGUGAAGGGGAGGUGCCUGCUGAAGUGCCUGUGCUGCCAGAGGAAGAGCGCAUGGAGGAUCAGCCUGAAGUCAGAUCCAGAAUUAUCCUGAACAGAAAGAGAGCCAAACUGAUAACUAACAUCCAGGACAGCGAAGGGAAACCACAGAGCUUCCAGGUAGCUGUUAACAUCACAGAAGCUCGACAGCUUGUUGGCGAAAACAUCGACCCCAGCGUGGUCGUCGAGAUCGGGGACGAAAAGAAACAGACGACUGUCAAAGAGGGAACUAAUGCCCCCUUUUACAAUGAGUACUUUGUGUUUGACGUCUUUGCCUACAAAGAGAUCUUCUAUGAUAAAGUCAUUAAGCUGACGGUGAGUAAACACCAGAGGGUGCUCCUGACUUUCAGUGUGGGGUCUUUCAAGCUGGAUGUGUGGACCGUCUACAAACAGCCAGGUGCGUCUCGCUCUCACCUAUCAACUAAAGACUGCUGUCCUGAUUCUUUAGGUCACCAGUUCAUCAAUAAAUGGGCAAUGUUAACCGAUCCUGGAGACAUUAGCACUGGAGUCAAAGGUUAUGUUAAAUGUGACAUCAGUGUUUCAGCGAAGGGAGAGGCCAUGCAGCCCGGACAGAAAGCCAGUGAUGCUGAGGAGCAGAUAGACAAGAACCUGCUGAUUCCAGAGGGGUUUCCUUCUGAGCGCCCAUGGGCUCGUUUCUGUGUGAAGGUGUACCGAGCUGAAGGCCUUCCGCGAAACAACUCCAGCAUCAUGGCCAACGUCACCAAGGCCUUCAUCGGAGACAACACGGCGCUAAUAGACCCUUAUGUUGUGGUCAGCUUCUUUAAACAAAUGGGCCGCACGUCCACUAAGAAGUCCACAGCAGACCCAGUGUGGAAUGAGCAGAUUGUCUUCACUGAGAUGUUUCCGCCUUUGUGUCAGAGAUUAAAGAUUCAGGUCUGGGAUGAAGGAAGCAUGAAUGAUGUUGCCAUAGGAACCCAUUACUUUGAUCUGAAACGUGUUUCCAAUGAACAAGAUGGUGACAAAGGGUUUUUACCAACAUUUGGCCCUGCUUGGGUCAACCUGUAUGGCUCUGCAAGAAACUACACUUUGGGUGACGACACAGGAGAACUUAACGAAGGCAUUGGCGAGGGCGUUUCCUACAGGGGUCGAGUCUACUUGGAGCUGACAGUGGAGAUCCUGUCAGGGGGGACAGGCUCAGAAUCAAAGCUCAGCCAAAUGAUGAAACCUGCAAAAGACGCUAAAGCAGGCAAGGUGGCUGGGAAGGAUGGGAAGACUCCUGCUGGUGGAGGAGGAAGUGUAGGAGGAGCAGCGGAUGAUGACAAAGGCAAAUCUGGAGCUGCAGAAGUUUUGCCUGUGGAAGCCCCUCCUGUGGUAAGAAGAAACAUAGAAAAUGACUGUGAAAGCUUCCUGCUGUUUGGUGCUGUGUUUGAGGCCACGAUGAUUGACCGUAAGCUAGGAGACAAGCCCAUCAGCUUCGAGUUCUCCCUGGGUUCGAAAAUAGGCCUGGACAUUCCAGACACCACCGAUGUGUUUGGCACCUCCCCCUCAGGCUCCUUCUCCAUCAGCACACCCCUCCUCUCACCCAGAGAGCCUUCAGACCCAAGUGUGAUAGCUAAAUCUGUCACUCCUCCAGAGAGACCUCACAUUGUUGAAGGGAACAGACAUUACAUGCAUCUACCCCUGGAGAAGAAGAAGCCAUGUUUUAACGUGUUGAGUUACUGGGAGGACAGAACCUACCGUCUGUACAACUCUAACAUGCUGGAGAAUAUAGCUGUACUCUUUGUGAGCACACCCACACGCCCACACACAUGCACUCACACAUUAAAGCAACACAGGGUCGACAGUGGAAAUCAAAACUUCUUAUUAUUAAAAAGAAGACUCAGCAACCUGACGCAGCUAGACAAGAAGCGUCUGACGAUGUGCAAACAGGAGCUGGAGGGUAUGAUAGGAGAGGCCAAGUCAUUGACAGAGAGACGAAGAAAAGCUGGUGGAGUAAAAGAAAUGCUGCAGGAAGCUACAAAGAUAAUGCAGAAACUCAGGUUCCUUGUGGAAGAGCCCCAGCACAUGGUACCAGACAUGUUUGUGUGGUUGCUAAGCAACAACAAACGAGUAGCUUACGCCAGGGUUCGAACCCGCGACCUGCUGUACUCUGGCAACCAGGAAUCCCGAGGGGUUCUCUGUGGGAAAGUAGUAACCUUGUUCUUAAAGCCUCCAGGAAAGCGUGCUGCAGCAUUGACGGUUCAGGCCAAGCUAGACGUGUAUCUGUGGUUUGGAUCUUGUUCAGACUCCUCCCACAUGCUGGAUGACCUACCUGCAGGAUACACACCAAACGAGGGGGGUGCUGAUGCCAGCAGCCCCCCUUCACACCUGGUCUGCACAGAGCACCACCACUUUCAGCUGCGCUGCCACGUGUAUCAGGCUCGCGGUCUGAUAGCUGCAGACAACACGGGCCUGUCAGACCCAUUCGCCCGAGUCACGUUCCUCUCACACAGCCUAACCACGAAUAUAAUCAGUCAGACCCUGAGUCCAACAUGGAACCAGUGCUUGUUAAUGAGCCGCAUCCUGUUGAGUGGAGACCUGCAGUUCAUCCAGAAGGAGCCCCCGCGUGUCGUCAUCGAGGUGUACGAUGAUGACGCUCUGGGUAAAGCUGAGUACCUGGGAGCCACUGUGGCAGUCCCUGGUGUGCAUCUGACCUCUGAACCCUACAUCCCCCCCACCCUGCAGUAUAGUCCACUUCACUAUGGAAGCCAGUCAGGAGGAGACCUACUUGCUGCAUUUGAACUUCUCCAGAUCCCCAAGUCUGGCCAUUCGAGUCUACCGGCUUUAGAGGAAGAGGAAGGAGGCAUCUACACAGUUCCUGCCAACAUCAGGCCUGUUCUCAGCACCUACAGACUGGAGGUGUUGUUCUGGGGUUUGAGGGAGCUGAGGAAGGUUCAGCUUCUGUCUGUUGACCGACCACAGGUGUUUAUAGAGUGUGCAGGUAAAACUUUGCGGUCCUCCGUCAUUCAAAAGUACAAGUCCAACCCAAACUUCACUACGCUGGUAGACUCCAUGGAGCUGGAGCUUCCGGAGAACGAACACCUCCAUCCUCCUCUCAGUAUCACGGUAGUCGACUGGCGGGCCUUCGGCCGCAGCACGCUGGUUGGAAACCACAUCAUCAACAAUCUCAAAGCUUUCAAGUCCACUCCACCUCCAGCCCCACCUCCAACCGACCGAACACAGAGACCAACUCAGGUCACGGAGGCCGGACCAGCUCCAACCACAGAGCCUCCGGUCUCUGAAGGUAAAGCAUGUGUGAGAUGUCACGUUGUUACCAGCUCUCCAAAAAUGUGUUCAAACAUCAGAACUAUUAAACCUCAGCCAGAACCCAGGAAGAAAAGGAUCAGCGCCAAAAGCACCCGUCGUUCCACCAAGAGGAGGCGGCGGACCAUUGCUGAUGAGUCAGCAGAGUCCGUCAUCGACUGGUGGUCCAAAUACUACGCGUCUGUGGAGAAGCAGAGGAAGAGGAAGCAGAAAGGGAAGGAAACUCUAGAGUUCCACUCUGGUCUACGUACAAAAUUAGCCACACUGCAGCUGUACAACAAGGAGCUGGAGGCAGAGUUUGGACCGUUUGAUGAUUGGGUGACCACAUACGAGCUGUUCAGAGGAAAAGCCAAUGAGGAGGAGGGAACAUCUGAGGAGAGGUUUGUUGGGAAGUUUAAGGGACGAUUCUGCCUCUACAAGCUGACUGAUGGUGGAGAAGGAGGCUCGGAGGCAGUCAGAGACAUGGGCCACUACAGAAUUGACAGAGGGAUUCCUCCAAACAACCAGGUCCAGGUUCUCAUACGAGUCUACAUCAUCUCAGCAUCCAACCUGCAUCCAGCUGACCCCGACGGGAAAGCUGAUCCAUACAUUGUUCUUCGCAUUGGCAAAAAUGAAAUCAAAGACAGAGACAACUACAUUCCCAAGGAGCUGAAUCCUGUUUUUGGAAGAUCAUUUGAGUUGCAGGCUACAUUUCCUCAGGAGUCUCUUCUGUCAGUGGUUGUUUACGACUUUGACUUGGUGGGAGGAGACGACCUGAUUGGAGAGACUCGCAUAGACCUGGAGAACAGAUUCUACAGCCGACACAGAGCCACCUGUGGACUUCCUACUGAGUACAGCCUUGGGGGUUACAACGCCUGGAGAGACUGUCUGAAGCCAUCAGAGUUGCUGUCAAGGAUGUGCAGAGAAAACGGAGUGGACGGCCCUCACUUCAGUCCCGGUCGCAUCGUUGUGGCAGGCAAAGUUUUUACCGGAAAGACGCUCUACAUGGAAGAAGAUAAAGAUGAGCCGGUGGAGUCCUACGAGCACUUGUCCCUGAAGAUACUGCACCGCUGGGCUGAGAUCCCUGGUGUGGGAUGCAAGCUGGUUCCAGAACACAUUGAGACCAGAACUCUCUUCAACAAGACCCGGCCUGGAAUGGAUCAGGGCCAGGUUCAGAUGUGGGUGGACAUGUUCCCUUUGGACCUACCACAUCCAGGCCCUCCUGUAGACAUCUCACCUCGAAAACCCAAAGGGUAUGAGCUACGUAUAAUCAUCUGGAACACAGAGGAUGUCAUUCUGGAAGACACCAACUUUCUGACGGGCCAACAGUCCAGUGAUAUUUAUGUCAAAGGCUGGCUGAAGGGUUUAGAAGAUGACCGACAGGAGACAGAUGUUCACUACAACUCUCUGACCGGGGAAGGAAACUUCAACUGGCGCUUUGUGUUUCCCUUCAGCUAUAUGCCUGCUGAGAAGGUGGUGGUGGUGAAGAAAAGAGAACAUAUCUUCUCACUGGACAAAACCGAGCAGAAGCUCCCUGCCAUCCUAAUCCUGCAGGUCUGGGACUUUGAGACGCUCUCCUCCGACGACUUCCUUGGUGCAUUAGAGCUGGACCUUCAUGGAUUUCCUCGUGGAGCAAAAACAGCCAAGUCAUGCAAAGCAGAGAUGUUGACAGACCUGAUGGAGAAAAUCUCCAUCUUCCAGCAGAAGAGGGCUCGUGGCUGGUGGCCAUUCUGCAAGUCUGGAGAGCUCACAGGGAAGGUGGAGGCAGAGUUCCAUCUGGUGACAGGUGACGAGGCUGAGAAGAACCCAGUAGGAAAGGCGAGGAAAGAGCCAGAGCCACUGCCCAAACCAAACCGCCCCGACACCUCCUUCUCCUGGUUUGUGAAUCCGUUUAAGUGUUUCUUCCACCUGGUGUGGCGAAGCUACAAGAAGUACAUCAUCAUCGCUCUAAUCCUGCUCAUCACCGUGCUCUUCCUCGCCCUGUUGUUCUACACUCUGCCAGGAGCCAUCUCUCAGAAGAUCAUCAAUGGAUGAAGCAGACAGCAGGCUUCAGAGGAGAUAGCCUUCAUUAAAAUAUAUUUUCCAGGUUUAAAUGUAGUGUUGAAUAAGACAUGCUAGCCUGUUAUCUAUAAACAGUUCUUGUUUGUAACCUGGUCAAAGACUCAAACUAGUCUGAAAAGUGAAGAUGCACAAAGAAUAUUACUUUGUUUCUGUGGACAGAAGGUUAAAGGUUAACGUUGUUUUCCAAGUUCAGAAGCUGGAAUUUUUAAACCUCCAAUCUGAGAUCAUGAAGUUUAUUUCCUCCUCGAGAUGCUGACGUAAAACUAGACCAAGACUCUUGAACAGCACUGAUUAUAAAAGAACGCAAAUAAAAUGGAAACUUUUUUUU